UACAGAGGGGGCAAGCGUUGUUCGGAAUUACUGGGCGUAAAGGGUGCGUAGGCGGUCUGGCAAGUCUUGUGUGAAAUCUUCGGGCUCAACCCGAAGUCUGCACAAGAAACUGCCGGGCUUGAGUAUGGGAGAGGUGAGUGGAAUUUCCGGUGUAGCGGUGAAAUGCGUAGAUAUCGGAAGGAACACCUGUGGCGAAAGCGGCUCACUGGACCAUAACUGACGCUGAGGCACGAAAGCUAGGGGAGCAAACAGG
rnacentral:rRNA from 1 species